rnacentral:rRNA from 1 species
GACUCUCGGCAACGGAUAUCUCGGCUCUUGCAUCGAUGAAGAACGUAGCGAAAUGCGAUACUUGGUGUGAAUUGCAGAAUCCCGUGAACCAUCGAGUCUUUGAACGCAAGUUGCGCCCGAAGCCAUUAGGCUGAGGGCACGCCUGCCUGGGUGUC